UACAGAGGGGGCAAGCGUUAUUCGGAAUUAUUGGGCGUAAAGGGCGCGUAGGCGGCCUUCUAAGUCGAACGUGAAAUCCCCGGGCUCAACCCGGGAACUGCGUCCGAUACUGGAAGGCUUGAAUCCGGGAGAGGGAUGCGGGAAUUCCAGGUGUAGCGGUGAAAUGCGUAGAUAUCUGGAGGAACACCGGUGGCGAAGGCGGCAUCCUGGACCGGCAUUGACGCUGAGGCGCGAAAGCCAGGGGAGCAAAGCGGGG
rnacentral:rRNA from 1 species